CUUUGCCUACCUUGUCAUUAAUUCCUAAGCAGCUGUGUGUUAGUACCCUCAUUUAACAGAUAAGCAAACCAGGCUCUAAAUGAAGUUACUUGGCCAAGAUCACACAGCUAGUAAGUGGGAGCUUGCUGGGAAAUCUAACGCUUGGAGUAAACAAAAGUGACUAACUAUGGUUCUUUUACGCAGUUUUUGGUUUGGUUACAUUCGUUUUCGUUUUAAAAGCCAAUGAGUGUUCUGAAGUUAUAAAAAUAAUAGCAUUCCCUCCCGGCUUACAUCCUCUCUGAGUUUAACUUCACUGUGCCGUUAUAUGAAACUUCUCUAGCUAUUUCUAUCGAUCUGUCACCAGAUUUUUAGAUGUUCCUUAGAACCAACGUGUAGCACUUCGGUGUUAUCCAGAUACCGCCCCGCCCCCCAUUAGCUCCCCGGGUUCUUUUCUACCUCUACCAGGAGCCUUCUUCCUUCCACAGCUUGACAGCUCUUAUUAUGCUUUUAGGCAUAGAAUCAACCCAUUGUGGCUCACUUUGAUCCGAACACGCCCUGUAGUGACUUGCGGGUCAGGGCUGAGAGACUCGGAACCCGGGAGUCGCGGGAGUCGGGAACACACUGCCGAGCCGCCACCUGCCCUCCUGCCUGCACAUUUCCUUUGAGCAGAGCCUUUGAGGGCUGCGAAGCUGGAGGAGUUAGGAUAAGACAGUGAGGGCAGCUCUUAGCUAGCUAGGAGGCACCGCCCUAAGGAAGUCUCCCGCCGGCCGGGGUCCGCGACUGCGCUCGCGACAACAGGACCGGGUCACCAUCCUCCCGCCUGGCCUCAGCUCCCUGUUCCUUCGCCGAGCGAGCGACGGACCGGCCUCUGCCCACCACACGUUCCUUGUGAAAGCAGGCUCAGGUCGGAGGCCCUGGGCGGUGCCCGGCCUUCAGCUUUCCCAGAAGCCGCUUUUCCUGGGACUCUUGAGUUGAGGAGAGCACUCCCUGCCGUUUCCCCCAAAGCAGGUGAUUAUGAAGUCUUCAUCAAUCUGAAAGGGGGUUCAAGACUGCAGGAAAACUCUGUCUUUACGGAGAGACGAGCGGAGUCUGGUUCCCACUAAGUGUGGUAUUGUCGCUGGUCCCUCGCCAGUUCUGCUCUUCAUUCAUCUUCUUCAAUUCUCCCCCCAAACGGCAACUCAAUUGUGGGCUAAAUAAAACUUUAAUUUACAUUAUUAUGGAAUCA
rnacentral:lncRNA from 1 species